rnacentral:rRNA from 1 species
AGAGUUUGAUCCUGGCUCAGAUUGAACGCUGGCGGCAUGCCUUACACAUGCAAGUCGAACGGCAGCACGGGAGCAAUCCUGGUGGCGAGUGGCGAACGGGUGAGUAAUAUAUCGGAACGUGCCCAGUCGUGGGGGAUAACGUAGCGAAAGCUACGCUAAUACCGCAUACGAUCUAUGGAUGAAAGCGGGGGAUCGCAAGACCUCGCGCGAUUGGAGCGGCCGAUAUCAGAUUAGCUAGUUGGUGGGGUAAAGGCCCACCAAGGCGACGAUCUGUAGCUGGUCUGAGAGGACGACCAGCCACACUGGAACUGAGACACGGUCCAGACUCCUACGGGAGGCAGCAGUGGGGAAUUUUGGACAAUGGGCGCAAGCCUGAUCCAGCAAUGCCGCGUGCAGGACGAAGGCCUUCGGGUUGUAAACUGCUUUU